rnacentral:rRNA from 1 species
UACGUAGGGUGCGAGCGUUGUCCGGAAUCAUUGGGCGUAAAGAGCGUGUAGGCGGCUCGGUAAGUCCGCUGUGAAAGUCCAGAGCUCAACCCUGGAAUGCCGGUGGAAACUGUCGAGCUAGAGUCCGGAAGAGGCGAGUGGAAUUCCUGGUGUAGCGGUGAAAUGCGUUGAGAUCGGAAGGAACGCCCGUGGCGAAAGCGAGCUCCUGGACGUUUUCUGACGCUGAGACGCGAAAGCCAGGGGAGCGAACGGG